AAAGCUCCAAAACUCCAGUUUUAAUAUCAUAUAGUUUUUAGUCACUUCUUUUUCAAAUAAGCUAAAUGUACAUUUUCUCGAGGGCUAUAGAUGAUAUACCGUCCAGAGAGCUGACUUGUUCAUACUAGCAGACUAAUGCACAUUUUGAGACGAUGUUCAACAUAAGUACACUAGAUGGCAGUAGAGUAGUUUACAAUAACUUAACAAGGCAUCCUCUGUUUGCUUGAUCGCUAGAUGGCAGAAGAGUACACGCUUGUGACAAACUAAUAACACCCAAUCUGCUUUUUAGUAAUAAGGCUGCAGUUAGACUUUCAUUUCGACAACACACAUCAAGCAAAUUCAUGCCAAAAUCGAUUGUUACAACACCUUCUCUUAAUGUUUUGCCUUUAUGACCAGGGGGAAAUAUAGCACUUACUACAUGACACAGCAGCUCACACGCAGACAUAACUGUCACCCAAAACCCACAUUUCUUCUGCACUGAGUCAUUGCUGUUUGCGUUCAUUUAAAUUAAACUUAAGGCUGUAAAUGGGCGGGAAAAUGUGUAUAUUUAUAUAUAUUUCUAUGCGUUACAUGUUUUGUUUUUAUGUUGGCUGUUGGUGGCUUUGCACGUCUGGCUAACAUGAAAUUCUUAAAGGGGACCCUAAUUGGAGUGAGACUUCACCAUUGAGAUGCUCCUGUCGGAUAUCACACAAUCGGCCACCUGCACAUGACACAAAUUAUGUGUCCGUACAAGACGACUUGUCAACGACUCUUUGGGACAUUUGUGAAAACAGGAGGACAGCCAGCCAAACCGACUCCCGUUUAUCACAUAAUAAAGACAAAUGUUCAUUUGAGGUGAACUGCAUUACAGAAAUGCCACCCUGCGGCAAAGCAUAAAAAUCACGAGGAUAUGGGGUUGGGGUGAAGGAAGAAAGUGAACACGCUCAGAGUCCCUCAAGGUGCUAACUGAACACGAGUCUUUUCCAGGGCAGCACCUGGAGACUCCGUAUCCAGUGUUUGUGACACGCUGUUGCCCAUGGCUGCCUUCCAGCAGUGCUUCUUCAGGGAUCCGAGCAUGUAGUACAGGAGCUGGAACAACCGCCCGGAAUCUUCAGCCACGCGCCGCCUGAAACUUUAAUGGUGACACGAGGAACGAGUCGUCCAGAUGUGAACAGGGAAUACCUCCGUGAUACGGACAGCAAUCCCACCUCCUGUGAGUGUUGUACGAGUAUAUGUGCAUGCGUUAGCAGGGAUGUGUGGCAGAACAUUAAUUUCUCUUACUUUUUUUGGUAUUGUUUUGCCAGAUGACAAGUUUCAUACCAUCUGCUUCCUUUCCCCUGUUAAUAAGUUUUCCCAGCCAGCUGAGUGCCCAAUCAAUUAUUUAGUGCGGCGGGGCCGCUGUCAGAUCCACAUCCGUGCUUCCAUGUCCAUCUCCAUCUCAUCGAGAUGCAGCACUGAAGUGCUCGCAAAGAACUUUCAAGGAUGAUUUUCACACUGUUACAUUACAAAAUUGAACAUAUUGGAAUCCACCAAAGUGAUUUAAACCAAAUGGAGCCAAAAUAUUAUUGGUUUACAAAUUACAGCAUGUGCUGGUUAUUUCUUUCAGUGUCUAUGAAUUGUUGUAAAUUCUGAGGAAAUAUGGUACAUGGUAAAGUAUUGCCUAGCAAUUCAGUGAUCGAUAUAGAUUAAAUGUACAUGUAAACAACAAAAAUAAAAAAUUUCUCUUACAGUCUCUCAUUCUAUUUGUAAUACUUUGGGUAACUAUUGUAUCAUAUAUUAUUAUUUAAUAUUCAGGAGAUGUCAUAGCUACAACAUAUACUUAGAAAUCAUAAGCAAAUAAUAAAACACCAAUAAAAUCUCCCAUCCUCAAGUCAUUUGACUGUUCAAUACAACUUACUGAUUGUCUUCAUCCAUCUUUUUCCUGUCAUAUAUCUUAGAAGAGCUGCAAAGACAGUUACAUUUUACAAUUCAUUAACAACUUUAACAACAUUAAACAGAUGCUGAGUAAUUCAGAUGCAUGCAAAUAUGAAUAUA